AACGAACGCUGGCGGCAGGCCUAACACAUGCAAGUCGAGCGAGGACUUCGGUCCUAGCGGCGGACGGGUGAGUAGCGCGUGGGAACGUGCCCCUUGGUACGGAAUAGCCCCGGGAAACUGGGAGUAAUACCGUAUGAGCUCUACGGAGGAAAGAUUUAUCGCCAAGGGUUCGGCCCGCGUUGGCUUAGGUAGUUGGUGGGGUAAUGGCCUACCAAGCCGACGAUCCAUAGCUGGUUUGAGAGGAUGAUCAGCCACACUGGGACUGAGACACGGCCCAGACUCCUACGGGAGGCAGCAGUGGGGAAUCUUAGACAAUGGGCGCAAGCCUGAUCUAGCCAUGCCGCGUGAGCGAUGAAGGCCUUAGGGUUGUAAAGCUCUUUCAGCUGGGAAGAUAAUGACUGUACCAGCAGAAGAAGCCCCGGCUAACUCCGUGCCAGCCGCCGCAGUAA
rnacentral:rRNA from 1 species